AUUGCGGAGAUCCGCUCUUCGGUAGAUUCUUGGAGUUGCGGUUAAUUAGUCAUGCCAAUCAAUCGGAAUACACGCGAAUGCAGAUUGGAUCAACGCGCGGUCACCGGCAAAGGAAAAAGGUAUACGAAAACAGAGAAUCGCGACGACGACGACGACGAGAUGACGACGAUGGCGACGCGGCGGCGAGAUUUACAUUUGAACCUCGCGAGUCAGAGGUCACCCGCGUGGCAGAGCUAUAGGAUCACGACAGGCGCGGUUUAUUCGCCAUCGUCCGCCACGAUACACGCACAGCACAUCGAAUAAAUAGCAAGUAGCACGGCAUAAAUAACACUUCUUCUACUACGGUACCGCCACGUGAAAGAGGGAGAGCGAGAGAGAGAGAGAGAGAGAGUCGUGUACACACAUUCACGCUUCCUUCGCGACGCAGAGUCUUCAAUACCUCUCGAGACAUGGAAUAAAUUUUUGCAAUCACUCUCUGCAAGAAUUAUUGAACGUUUUAUGUCAUUUUCAACUUUGUCAAGAAGUUAACACACUGAUUGUGGCAGAAUCUUUUAAAACGCUUGUAAAAGAUAUGUAAUGCCAAAAGAAAAUGCUGUCUAAUAAAAAAUUGUAUGUAAAUAA